rnacentral:rRNA from 1 species
GACGAACGCUGGCGGCGUGCCUAAUACAUGCAAGUUGAGCGCUGAAGGUUGGUACUUGUACCAACUGGAUGAGCAGCGAACGGGUGAGUAACGCGUGGGGAAUCUGCCUUUGAGCGGGGGACAACAUUUGGAAACGAAUGCUAAUACCGCAUAAAAACUUUAAACACAAGUUUUAAGUUUGAAAGAUGCAAUUGCAUCACUCAAAGAUGAUCCCGCGUUGUAUUAGCUAGUUGGUGAGGUAAAGGCUCACCAAGGCGAUGAUACAUAGCCGACCUGAGAGGGUGGUCGGCCACAUUGGGACUGAGACACGGCCCAAACUCCUACGGGAGGCAGCAGUAGGGAAUCUUCGGCAAUGGACGAAAGUCUGACCGAGCAACGCCGCGUGAGUGAAGAAGGUUUUCGGAUCGUAAAACUCUGUUGGUAGAGAAGAACGUUGGCGAGAGUGGAAAGCUCAUCAAGUGACGGUAACUACCCAGAAAGGGACGGCUAACUACGUG